CCCAGUGUAUGUUUGAGGUGAGGUGCAGACUGAAAGGAAUCAAGAAACAUAUAAAGAUUAAGUGGAAUCAAUGUAUUGUUUUUUUUGAUGAUGCAACUCGGUGUUUACAUCUGCAUUAAAUGUAUUAAAUGCAGAUAAUGCAAUAAGUGAAGAUAAUUCUCCACAACCAGUAUAUCAUACCAGUCCACCAAUUGACCAAACCAGAGUCCAACAUCUGGGAGGGAAAGUGAACUGGCUGGAGAUGCAGCUUAACCAGGCUUGGGGCUGCAUAUAUGAAUUGCAAAGAAAUGUGCAAUGGUUGAGUCAAUCUUGCAAUCAGAACCAAGCAGUUGCCAGUCAAUCAGCUCAGGGAAAUGAAGACGUGGAUGUUGUAAAGGUAAUAAAGCUUUAACUAUUGUGGCUUUACUUUAAAAAUAUAGGUGCCUGCAAAAUUGUUAUUCAAAUUAAUAUUUUUUAUUUUAAAGCAUUUAUAAUAUAUUAA